UACGUAGGUGGCGAACGUUAUCCGGAAUUAUUGGGCGUAAAGGGUGCGUAGGUGGUCAAAUAAGUUAGUAGUGGGAAAUCGAGGCCUAACCUCGUGGAAGCUGGUAAUACUGUUUGACUAGAGGUUAGGAGAGGUUAACGGAACUCCAUGUGGAGCGGUAAAAUGUGACGAUAUAUGGAUGAACACCAAUAACGGCGAAGGCAGUUAACUAUUCUGUUCCUGACAUUGAGGCACGAAAGCGUGGGGAGCAAAACGG
rnacentral:rRNA from 1 species